rnacentral:lncRNA from 1 species
AAAAAUGGAUGCUUUAAAAGAAGUAAGUAAUAUUGUUACAUGUUACAUAAUUAAUGCAAAUACUAAUUUGUGAUAAUUUUUACAAUUUUUAAAUGUAAAAUGUUCAAAUAAGGAAAUAAUCAAACUAGUAAAAUCUGGAUUUCUUGUAAAAAAAAAACUGUUUGAUAGAAAAACAAAAUUAUAAAAUGUUUUUAUUGAACGUUACACAGAGAAAAGACCAGACACCUGUUAUAAGUGGUAAUUGAUACUGUUUAAAAUACUGUCCCUUUAAGAAGUAUCAUGAUAGAAUACUACAGCAUUGCUACAAUAAAUAUUCUACUUUUUAUGUUUGUCUGUCUUGAUAUCUUUAGGUUACCGUUAAGUGUAGUGUAAAAUGAUGUGCACAACCAGUAUACAAAAAUCCAACAUUUUAAUCAGGACUGAAAAGGGUUUAAGUAGUUGUUUGAAGAGAAGAUGGCAUAGGAAGCGCACUUAGAAAGUCGAGCAUUGUUUUUUUCUUUUUUUAAACUGUUAAAUUACUGCUGUAAAACAAAUUUAUAAUAUUUUAAUUAAAUUAGUUUGAAUUUAAAUAUUUUUUAUUAACUUACACUCAAAUUUGUGCAGCUUGAAUAUCCAAUCUAAUAAGGUAAAAGAUUAACAGGUAUCAUGUUUAAUUACAUAUACUUCAAUAAAUUUCAACUGAACAGUUCUGUAUUUAAAUCAAACAUAGGUUGAACAUUCAUCAAACAAAGUUAACCUUCGAUAAUGUAUUAAAUGUAUAUAUUUAUCUGGGGUAACAAUAUAUAACUAUUAAUCCUGCUGUUUUAUCUUUUAAAAUGAUCAGAUUAUAUUGUAUUUGUGCAUGUCAUGUGAAAUGUCAUGCGAUUUAGAACACUUUGACAAUAUACACUUUUCCAACUUAUCUUGUUUCUUACGUAAUUCCUACCAUUUGCAGGUAUAAUUAUCACGGUGGGUAUGGUUGUCCUGCGAGAGAACGUACUGUGCUGGUGAUUUGGUCCUGACGGGUGCUGGUGAUCAAUGAAAAAAUGUAAACAAAGACGAAAACAAUGAUUUUUGACGUUUUCACUCAUAAAAAAUGGAAGAAAACGGUUGAGAUUUUUCAAUUUUGUUUCUUAUGGGUUCAUAUGUAAACCAUUAAAAAGUUGACCCUCUAAACUUUUUCAGUAAGCGUAACACAGAAAUGCUCAUUUUCAGAAAAUCUCGAACUGAAAAAAUAAAACAAAAAUGCUCAUAGAGUCCGCUUUCUAUACCGCAAUCCACGCGACAAAACUAUUUUGUGAAAAAACAUUGCAAUUUAAAUUAGUAUUAAAAUUUAGCAUUUUCUCAAUUUAUUCAUGUCCUGAUACUGUGCUGGUGGGUCCUGUCAUUGUGCUGGUGGGUCCUGAUACGGUGCUGGUGAUUUUGGAUAAGAAGUUGGUCAUAUUUGAAACAAAUGUUACAAAAUCAAUAAUAUUGGGCAGAUAAUUGUUGUCAAUAGGAUCUAUGACUCCUAUUUUAGCUCUUGUGCAUCCAUUUGGCUGUUUAAUAUGUGUUUUGAAAUGAUCGUAACUUGUAUUAAAUAAUUACAUAAAAGGGCAACAUCUUUCGUCCAAUAUCAGAUAACAAUAUAUAGUAUCUAAAAUAAGAAUAGUUUUAUUAAGAUAUUUUAAAUGCCCCUUACAUUGAUGCUUCAACAAUGAUCAAAGCCAAUGCCGCAUAGACAUGUUUGUUAGCGCUCCGCAUACCCCUCCCCACUUCCACCCAACCAACCCUCCUCAUUUCCUCCUUCAUUGUUACAGUGGUGUAUCAACACAACAAUUUAUUACAUAAAAUAAUAACACAAAGACACACAUUAUUGAAUAACGAAUGCUUGCAGGUACUGAAAGUUAGUUAGUUCAAGCUAGCAUUUUAGCAACAUUUUCAACUAAUAGAUAAACCAUGUUCUCAAAUACAAAAAUCCAAUCGUGUAGAUUAAAAAAGUCUCAAAACUUAAGUUCACAUUUUAAUGUUUGAUGAAGCAGAACUUUAAAAGUGUGCAGUGAAUCUUGUUCUCACAACAGUUAUUGUCAUAAUUAUGUUUACAUAAGACUCAUAAAGGAAUUAAGAAGGUACCAAGCAAUAUUUUACAGUUCAAUUUAAUGAUCAUGAAUGGAAGGAAAUGGUACGGAAGUUUACAUAGGACAAAAAGAAAUUGAUAGUAUUUUUUGGCGAAAGACUUAAACGCUUCCUUGCAUUAUAUAGUACAGCUCUUCUAUAAAAGCAUGCAAAAAAAAACUUUGAUUGACUUGCUUGCUAUGUUUGCUUGGAUGUUUUCAAACAAUAGGUAGGCGGAGUUUCAAUACAUACUGGGAUUUGAUUGGACAAAUACAAACUGACAGGAAUUGAAGUUAAUGUUUAUUUUCCAAACAAAUUGUAGUAUAUAGUAAACAGACUACUUACCUGUCGUUUACAAACAUCCAAACAAUCAUAGCAAGCAAUUUAAUCAAUGGUUUGCUUUGCAUAUAUUUAUAGAAGAGCUGUAAAUUCUAAAAAAAAAAGAAAUUUUGUUGUCGUAGAUGGUUAAAUCCUCAACAAAAUCACAAUAUCUUUGUUGGAACGAAUAAAGGUUUUAAAUCAAAUUUUCGUGGACUUUUUAGCUUCCACCCUGACGAGACAUGUUAGCUGUUCGUAUGCUGUUGCACCUGACGCACGGAAACUUUCACAUUUCCAUCUUCUUUUCUGAAAAUAUUUUACCCAGCUCAUACUUGACAGGACUGUUAUCCUAGUAAAAGGUGUAACCAAUGAAUUGAACACAAGUUAAAAAUUCCAAAAUACUAUAUAAUUCAUUUUAUGUGUCAAUUUGUUCGAAAAAAGUCGAAAAGAAGAGAGUUUUUUUUAAUGCCAUGAUUAUCUGCCGCUUUCUAGAUCUAUGCUUAGCAUUUAUUUCAGAUGACAUGGACUCCUCACCCUGGUGACCCUGCUGCCUUUCAUAACUUUAUCCGUAUACAUAUAUUAAUAGAUAAACAAAAGGCUGCAACUGGUAUUUGAUUCGUUGUAACGAGAAUAUUUGUGGUGAAUGGAAACUGUGAGGGUCAAAAUCUUAAAUUGCUUAUAAAUGUUGCUGGACCCAGUUUCGUUAUCUGAUCUGAAUUUUCUGAAAUGUGCAAGGUAGAUAGACAUUUUGAUUUUUUUUACUCGGUAAGUUUUGCCCUAAUUGCUUGAACAUUUGCAAUAUUAAAGCCGAUUUCAAUGAGUGUGUAGACAAAGGGAAUAUCUUUGGUUAUCUUGCUUGCUGAACAGAAAAGUCAUUGUUAGGUUAUGUAAACUACCCUACUUUAAGAGUAGACUAGUCCGACAAAUGACACAUCUUUCUGUCUGUAGGACCAGGCUAAUUCGAAAGGAGGGUAUAGACCUUACCUAACAAUGACUUCACGGUUUAGCUAACAAGCAAGCUAACCAAAGAUAUAACAUUUGCCUACAUACUCAAUGGAAUCGGCUGUAACUAAAAACUCGAAUACAUUUUAACAGACAGUGGUCUGGUUUGUUGAUGAAUAUUGUUUUUCCUAGAUUCACUCUUGAAAAAAUCAUUUGGUAACAUUUGGUCAUUGUAAUACGGACGCCAAGACAAUAAAUGAACCUCACACGAUCCCUCGACACAGUUGAGCUUAUAUAUGAUCUUAUAGCGAUUCGGGUUGAAAAUCAGUUGAAAUUAAGCCAGUUAUUUGUGUGUGUAGAUUUGUAUUGUUUUAAACUGUUAUGACUUUUUAAAGUUAAAUCUAGGUGUUUAAUCUAAGAAUUUCUUUUUUAAACUUAUUUACUUGUUUUAUACUCAAUUGGUAGUAUGAAGUUACGAGAUAUUUUAAUUUUUGAAAUUGAAGGCACAAUUAACAAAGCAAACGUUAGUUUCAAAUACUUUUAAAUAGAUUUUUAAGGAUAAUGUACCCUUGUGUUGAUCCCAUGCUAAACAUAACAAAAAUUCUCUGUACAAAGGUCUGUGAAUUUUCUACAAAAAUAGUGAUUUUAUUUUCACCAAAUUCUCUUUUUCUACUAAAUACAAUAAUGAACUAUAAAUAAUAAUGCUUUGCAAGAAGUUUCCCCUUGAUACAUGUAUAUGUACAAAAUUAUAUCUCUAUUAUCCCUUGAUACAUGUAUAUGUACAAAAUUAUAUCUCUAUUAUUCAUUGUCUGUGCUGUUUUGAUACUAUUGCAGUUUGCACAUUUUCGUAAUUGACAGGCCACAGGAGGGGGUGAUAAACCAUACACGAAAAUAUAAAAUAUUGAUCUAAGUACUUAAUUUGCAUCUCUGAACCCCACCCCGGCUUGUUUUUUAGGAGGGUGUCUAAAAAUGGUCGAUUACAGACAGCCGAGUACGCAUUUUACUUUCCAGGCGUGUUUACGUUGAUUGUUAAAGUCCUGAAAACGGAUAGAUAGAAACAAAAAUGUUUGAUUUAUCUGGCUUUAGAUUCAGUUUUUUUUAAAUAUAAAUUAAGUCUACAUUUUAAUAUAAUAAUACUAAGAAUUCACAAAUAUAAAAAAUGCAGAAAAAAAAUGGAGAUGUGAAAUAUCUUAAUAAGGAGUCAUUACUACAGAGAUGGUGUGUUUGACACACAAAACUUAAAAGCUUAGUGAUAUUACCAAUAUUAAAAUAAAAAGUGUAUUUUAGUUUGGUAGUUUUUCCAUUUACUCAUUUUCAAUCAUAAUUAAGGCACAUUUGAUUUUUAUUCAUAAAAAUAUUUAAAUAUAGAAAAGUAGGACACAUUGUUCACUUCCUCCCCUGUAAUUCUUUAUCAAAAAUAUUUAUUUAUUUUGGAAUUUUGAAAUGAAAAAGCUAAGAAAUCUUAGUUUUGUUAAUGUUCUCUAGGUUAUCUCGUCUUCAUUCUCUGACAUAUUCUCUGACAUAUUCUAGUCUGCCCUUUCAUAAAAUAGUGAUUUUUUUAGUGUUCUAUCGAACUUUCGAAAAAAAAUACCUGAUAACCGUUCAGACAAAAAAAAAUAUGUUGAAAAAAUCUUACAGAUACAGCAAGUGAUUCUUAAUAGCUGUAAGAUACAUUUUUCUUUUAAAAUACAACUUUUAAAUCUUACGGGAAACUAUUCCAAGCUUAACACUUUCACUGUAACCUCGCUCUAACUUAUCCCCCCCCCCAUCCCCCCAAAAAAAACCAAACAAACAAACCCGCAAUACUAUUGUCAUUCUUAUAGUCAGCACUCAAUUUUUCACAAACAAAUGUGUUUUAAGCUGCUAAAGACAUAUGAUUCAAACGCUCAGAAAGUCCUUUCUUCUAUAUUUUUGCUCUCCAUUUUUAUACAAAACCUUUUACAUUUUUAUUUUAUGGGUUAUUGUUGAAGGUCGUACAAUGACGUAUGGUUGUUAACACAUACUUUCUUUGGUUUCUUAUGGAAAUUUGUCCAUUGACAACAAACAUACAACAUCAUCUACUUUAUAUAAGUAUUGUAUAAAUUACAACGUAUUUUGGCGAUCUUGCAAAAUGAUCGUAAUCCCGAAAAUCGUAAACAUAUUUUCUUAUCUUAAAAGGGGGCAAGAAGGGUUCCAUUAACAGGCCAAUAAAUAAAAUCACAGUUAAUUUUAAAAAGAAUAAAAAAUAGGGUUUUUUUUUCUCUCAUAAUAACAGUAAACAGAUUCAUAACAAUGUCAAUUUCAAGAAAGCAGACAACAGUUAAUUACUAGUAGUCAAUAACAGUACAGCAUCAAUGAUCUUGAAUAUUUGCCACUUUUAACUAAAAUAUAAAGGCACAGAACCAGGACAUAGGAGCACAGAACCAGGACCGUUUUUCUUAUCACCAGCACAUCGUCAGGACAAUUCCGUUUAACGAACUUGCACGACUUUUGCAAUUUUAUAUUGUUGAAAUAUACUUUGCAUGGUACUUAUGACGCAUCAGAGAAAAAUUAAGCAACAAAACAGUCGUUUUAUUGCCGUUCUGAUACAAUGUAAACAAACCCACCAGCACAGAAUCAGGACCCACCAGCACCCGUCAGGACCAAAUCACCAGCACAGUUCUCGCAGGACAUACCACCGUGAUUAUCAUUACUGAUUUCUUAUCGUCUAUCAGAGUGGCUAAACGGUUUAAAAUGGGACAAAUAAAAUAGUUUAGACUUAUAUUAUUAAGAUAUGCUAUUGCUUAUAUAAAAAUAUUUUAAAGUAUCUGUUGAACUUUUAUAAUUUAAUAUGAACCGCGAUUCUCACUCUUUUUUCACUUCCCUAAAUAUUGUAAUAAUAUACAGCUUUCAAUAAACAAAAAAUCUUGAUUUACGUGUGUAAGUUUUACGGCUUCUUAGAUUAAAAAUCUAAACAUGUCUACUAGUUUGGGUAAAUCUUUAUUACUAAGCAAUGCAGAACGUACGAAGAUGCUCUCUUCUCAGUCAGACGAAACUAUAGUUUACAACUUGUCAAAGCUCCUGAAAGCGACGGCCAUUUCAUCCAAAACAAAUUAUAGAUAGAACUGCAAAAGCUACCCUUGUAGACUACUAUACGGAGAAUACGAAACUUCCAUCCACCCCCUUUCCAUGCAAGAAAAACUUAUAUAAUAUAAUAUGAUACAUGCAUAUUUUCCAACGAGGUAUGCAUACUUUCCAUUUGAUGUGGUCAUAAUUGUACUCUCAUAUCAAAAUUUAUAUAAUGUCUUAGAACUCCGUGUUACAUGUAAAGUGAAAUUAAACAUGUUAUAGCACAUUUGUGUACCUUUUAUAUCGUCGCGGCUUUUCACUCACAUAUGUGCUGUGUCGUUGUCGAAGUUAAAAUAAGAGGUUUUGUGGUUAGGUUCACUGCAUUUGGAAAAGCUAUUGGCGAAUUCCAGAUAAGAAGAAAAAAGUUCAAUGGCAGUUCAUUUCAUUAUAUUUUGUUAAAGAAAAAUCAGCUAAAACAGAGGUCCAUGAACACCUGUUUAUAGUAAAUAACUUAGCAAAUCAACAAUGUAAAACAAUCUCUGUUUUAUCAGCGUAUUUAUACGACUUUAAUAUCAAUCAGCGUAUUUAUAUUUUCUAGAUUCCAUCAUGGUGUUGGUCUGUUAAGCUGGAAGACAAGGCUCAGCAUUUAAUUGAUUUGAAAAUAAGCUGUCCUAUCUGUUUUCUGUUUGAUGUUGUGUUUAUCGUAUUGGUGGAUACAUCGGAUUUUUCAUCAACUAACAUGUUUAUCAACUCUCAUUGUGGUGAAAUUACUAUAUCAUUAAACAGCAGUUUUAAUCCAACAAAAACCUUCAUUCUGUAUGUAUACGGACUCAAAACAAUCAUUUCUAGUACCGGUCAAUAUGAUUCGGUGGUAUGUUAUGGAAAUAAAGAAAUUGAAUGUAAGUCUGUUUUCAGCCUCGUGUUUAACUUUUGGUGUAAAAAAACAAGUAAUAUCUUUUCAACAUUCUUUUCAGAUAAGUAAUAGCCUCCACACAUACUCAAAUCUAUUUUAUCUAUUUAUAUAAAUUUUUAGUUUGCGCAAAAAAGUUAUUAUCCAAUUUGAAAUACACAACUAGUAAGAAUUUGAUAUAUAAUGUUAUUAUUUAAUUGUGUCGUGCUUUGAACAAUUUAAAUAUACUUCAUCGUUUUAAAGUGCACCCUCCUUAGUUAGACCAAGAUGUUUAACUUUUUUUUAUACUUCAAUUGUAUUUAAAACCGUAAAAUCUCUUAAUCGAUUGAUGAAUAACGAUAUACUGCUGUUGCCUUUAUUUUGACAAAAACGAAAAUAAACAAAAAAGAUUGCAUGAUACAAACUUUAUUCAUUGAUGUCUUUUAAAGGUAAAGAAGAGAUUCAAACAAACGUGCUUUUGAAAGAAAUUAAAGAAGACAUACACUUGCCUUUGUUGUCCACAGUAACCCAGGUGAUUUUAUAAGCAGACAUUGAACUUGUAUCCUACUUCUAAAACAGCUAUUGAAAAUAAUAUGGCCAAAUACAGGGUUUUGUUAUCUGUCAAUUCAGAAAGAGUUAAAUUGAAAUCUCGUUUAUCUAGAUCGUAUUUGUUUUAGAGUUUGUGCUUUUAUCGGGUUGAUUGUUUAUUCUUUUUGGGUUAUAUCGCUUGGGCUUUUAUUUUAGGAUUUUUUUUCCUGCACAUUGAUUGAUUAAUGUAAAUAACAAAAGGGGAAACAUAUAGUACGGCAGCUUAGUGAAAAAUUGUGCACAUCCUGCUACAAGCAUAAAAUUUGGCAUAGACCUUCCUCAACUAUUACUCUUUUAUUUCUUGGUCUAUAGUCUUUUCAAGCAUGUAAAACGUGCAAUAUACUUAUGCAGGUGUUUAGGGGACGAGCUUGGGAUUGGCUCUCAUGCUACCCAGUCCAGGCGAUAAUGGAUGGCGAAAUGACAAAGAUGAUCCCUUUAAAAAAAAACUCUUUCUGAGGCCUCAUCAUUUUGUCAGAAGCUUGUACAUGGUGGAUGUAAGAAAGGAUGCCGAGGUCAUUGUUAAUGUGGAAAAUCGGGUCUCCCGUGCACUGUCUUGUAUGCAUGUAGUGGUGACUGUGAAUAAACAUGUAUUUCUGGCCAAAUAGUAGUAAUUUUAAAAAUGUUUUAGUACUAUAGUGAUUUUUUUUAAUCAAUCUAUCCAAAACUCUACAUCGAAGAAAUGGAUUGUGGACUCAUCUUUGAAAAGAGGAACGAAAGAUACCAAAGGGACAGUCAAACUCAUAAAUCUAAAACAAACUGACAACGCCAUGGCUAAAAAUGAAAAAGACAAACAGAAAAACAAUAGUACACAUGACACAACAUAAAAAACUAAAGAAUAAACAACACGAACCCCACCAAAAACUAGGGGUGAACUCAGGUGCUCCGGAAGGGUAAGCAGAUCCUGCUCCAUAUGUGGCACCCGUCGUGUUGCUUAUGUGAUUACAAAUCCGGUAAAUAGUCUAAUUCGGUAGGUCACAUUCAUGAAAGGGAAGGGGAUUGUAGUUACGACGUAAAGAACAUAUCUUUUGAAAUUUACGCCAUAUUUUUACCGUAAGUGUCAACUUUGUAUUUAAACAUUUACAACAUGAUAGAAUUAGCGGUUUUAGUGAUAUAAUUUAAAGCCAAAAAUUUAAUGACCAGCACAAAAAACUAAAAUUUCUUUACAUUUUGAAAAAAGUUGAAUAUUUGAAUAAUACAUUGAUAGUUCUAUGUCCGCCAUUUUGGAUAUAACCGGAAGUAAGGGUUUUUAAGACAUAUGUCUUAUACAUUGUAUCUAUCAGAAGCACCAUAGAAAGGUUCCUGCACAAUGUAGCAAUAUGUUAAAACACAUUUCAAUUACCCUCCCUAAAAAAAUAAGCUUAUUUAAGUAUAAUGUCCGCCAUGUUGGAUUUUACCGGAAGUAGGGUUUUUGAAGACAUCUAAUCUAUAUAAUAUAUCCAAAAGUAGUACAUAACAAAGUUUUGUACCAAAUAUUAUGCUAGUAGCCUGCUAAUAACACCUUUUUCACAUACUAGCCUUCGAUAUUAGGCUGAUUCAAGUAUGAUGUCCGCCAUCUUGGAUUUUACCGGAAGUGAGACAUUUUUUUUCAAAUGCCUCCCUAUCUGAAAUAAAAGAGUAAUAAGUUGAGGAAGGUCUUUGCAAAAUUUCAUGAUUGUAGCAGGAUGUGCACAAUUCGUCUAAAUUAUGCUUGUAGCCGCCGGACUAAUAUGACUGAUUGAUGAUUUGUUCAUUGUUGCUUGCUCAAAGAUAGCUAGCCCAGUUGCAAUAAUUUAAUGCACUAAGACGAAAACAAUUUAACUAACAAUAAUAAAGUAGGUAGAUUUUGCAAGUGGGACAACCAGUAUUGAGAAUAUGAAAUAAGUAGGGGUAAUUUCCUCUGAAAAAAAUCUGACAAGUCUUUAUGAAGAAUGUUAUCAUUUGAACGAAUGAAAAAAAAAAUCAUUAUUGAAGUAAAAAAUUUACACAUGAAAAAAACAAAUUGACAAAAAAUCAUAAUAUAGAAAAUAAAGAGCUCCUUCAUGCAGUAGAACAGAAGUGGACGAAAACGUAGGGUGUCAUGUUGAUUAUAAAUUACCAAUUGAGAGACAUUUCUAUGUUGAUUUGUUAAUGAGAAUAACCAUAUAUAUUUUGUUUGAUUUUAGGGUACAUUGCCAUUAACUGUCCAUCGCCAACCACCGUCGCUUUACAGGUUAGAUGUUAAUACUAUCUUUACAGAUGAAAAACAUUUUAUCGUCUUUGUCAAAGUAAAGAAUCAGCUCCGCUGUUACAAUGUCAGUGGUCGGUGUCUAAACAAGCCGUUUCCUUUUGAGUUGCCAUCUGCAUCAUCAGUUCAAUGUAAGGUUUUGUGUGCAUGUCGACAGCAGCGGAUGAAUGGAAGAUUUUUUGUUACGACUACUGUAUCGCAUAGCCAUGUGAUCAGUUUUAAAACGUGUAAGUAAUUCUACGCUGUAUUGAAAAUAAUUAAAAGCAAAGACAACCGACAACAAACGAAUAAAAAGACUAAAUACGAAAAGAAAAAAAUUCGAUAUAGUAAUAACACGGAAUUGGAACUAUUCUUUUAAUAAUAAAAACACAAAUAAACAAAAGUUCGGGCUUUUUUUUAGUAAUGAGAUCGUGCGUAUUUGUUAUUAAAAAAAGCAAACAUAAAUACUUAUCUCCUCUAACUGGUAAAAUUUUCAUCAAGAAUGUAAAAAAAAAAAAAGGUUUUAGGACAAUUCUGUAUUAAAAACUGUUCAUUAUUAUCUCAAAUGAAAUGAUUUGAAGAAAAAAAGUAUCGGGUACAAUUUGUUAGUUGAUCGUUUUGCAAACUAUUAUUUCAGUAAUCCAAUUUCAGCAAAACAUUUUUUUAUUUUCAGUUUUGUCUCAUGUGGAUACAUACCGAUUAUAUAAUCUAGCUAUAGCAUUCGGAACAAGAAAAGUCUACCCGAACAUGCGACCUAUUCAGUAUUUCUAUAGGAAUAAAUCAGUGGAAUAUUUUCAAAUUAUACUAAAUUCAAACUAUCUAAAAGGGGAAAUGCGACCAUAUUUGAAAAGUAAUGGUGGAGAACAGGGUUCCGUGGUGAAUGGUCGGUUACCUGGUUUAUUUUUCAGUACAUAUAUUGAUAUAACGACGAACAUGCCAAAUCCACGUUCUCACUAUGGACCAAUAAGAUUGUAUUAUAAAGCUUUUGUGAUGUUUAAUCAUCAGUGUAAUUUGUAUUUUGCCGAUUUUUAUUGUCAUUAUAAACGACAUCAUGUGACAAUUAUACUGGUACCAAAACUAUCAACGCAUAACAAUUUUUGUCGACAAUAUUUGACAGAAUUAAACAUUUUUCAUAAUCCAUAUUUGUGUUUGAGAGUAGAAUUGAACGGUACAUUCACUGUUCUGGCAAAUAUGGAUGUCACUGUUGAAGUGUUUUAUACUGAAAUCAUUAAUGUGAAGAGAGCUUUAGAGUUGAAGUAUGGAUUUCUAGAAGAAACACCAACUAUUGGGAAAGGGUUUGCUAAGCCUUCUGGUACUCCUAAAAACCCUGAUUGUAACAUAUGUAACUUAAAAUAGUCAUAUAAUUUUAGGUUUAGGUUGUGCGUACGCUUGAAUAUCUGUAAAUCGGUUUGCUUAAGUUAUGGGCAUGUAACCAAUUAAAAUAUUACAGCACUUUGCAUAAUGUUAGCAAGACAAAGGUUUGGUUGACUUGCUUGCUUUGUUUGAAUAAAUGUUUGCUCAAGCAUUGUAAUUAGUUCGUUCAACUACUUAAAAAGAAAAAACGGAUGUGUUAUACUCAAUAUUUUUUUUCUUUAUACAUGUUGUAUAUUCAAAAUCUGAUUUAAAUUCAGACAUUUUCUGAAAUAAAUACUGCGUAUAGGUUUAAAUUACAUACAAUUUUACACGUGUUAGGAAAAUAAAUAAAUUCCUUAAUGUACUCUUGUGUCUUUAUAUGAUUUUAUACAUUUCAUUUUCAUUGAUUUUUUUU